UUGUGUUUGGUUUUAUCCUUCCCUGUUGUGUGGUUUCUGUCUCCUUGCUCUCAAAUUACUUAGCGUUGCAUGCCGGUGGUUGCAAGGCCCGUGUCCUCUCAAGCAAUUGCUUUAAAUACUUUCUGGAAGUUCUGCCCAACUCUACUUCAUUCUAUCGAAAUAAUUCCCUCGUAAAUUUUUGUUGCUGCCAGUAUCUUGGCUACCGUUUUCCUCGCUCCCUCGUUUGAAUUUUGUCAAAUUUUAAAAUGGACUAAAAAUAUGUAUUUGAUUAGCUUUAGAAUAAUAAUUCACUUCAAGUGGAAAAACAAAGUUCUUUAAGGUGAAAAUUAUAUUUGGUCAAUAGGAGAUUUGGACCAUUUUCAGCUUUUGGAACAUGUUGGAGAUGAGAGAAAUU
rnacentral:lncRNA from 1 species